UCGAGAAUUUUUCACAAUGGACGAAAGUCUGAUGGAGCGACGCCGCGUGGAGGAUGAAGGUUCUUGGAUUGUAAACUCCUGUCACUGCAGAACAAGGAUAUACCAGUUAACAGCCGGUGUAUUUGAUGGUAUGCGGAGAGGAAGGGACGGCUAACUCUGUGCCAGCAGCCGCGGUAAGACAGAGGUCCCGAGCGUUGUUCGGAUUCAUUGGGCGUAAAGGGUGUGUAGGAGGUCGGGUAAGUCAGGUGUGAAAUCUCACAGCUUAACUGUGAAACUGCGCUUGAUACUGCUCGGCUAGAGGAUCGGAGGGGGUAUCGGAAUUUAUGGUGUAGCAGUGAAAUGCGUAGAUAUCAUAAGGAACACCGGUGGCGAAGGCGGAUACCUGGAAGAUUCCUGACUCUGAAACACGAAAGCCAGGGGAGCAAACGG
rnacentral:rRNA from 1 species